GAUGAACGCUAGCUACAGGCUUAACACAUGCAAGUCGCGGGGCAGCAUGGGGGUUGCUUGCAAUCCCCGAUGGCGACCGGCGCACGGGUGAGUAACGCGUAUCCAACCUGCCCUUCACCACGGGAUAACCCGGCGAAAGUCGGACUAAUACCGUAUGUUGUCCAUUGACGGCAUCCGAUUUGGACGAAAGGUUUGGCGGUGAAGGAUGGGGAUGCGUCCGAUUAGCUGGACGGCGGGGUGACGGCCCACCGUGGCGACGAUCGGUAGGGGUUCUGAGAGGAAGGCCCCCGACACUGGAACUGAGACACGGUCCAGACUCCUACGGGAGGCAGCAGUGAGGAAUAUUGGUCAAUGGGCGUAAGCCUGAACCAGCCAAGUAGCGUGCAGGAUGACGGCCCUAUGGGUUGUAAACUGCUUUUAUGCGGGGAUAAAGUGGCCCACGUGUGGGUUUUUGCAGGUACCGCAUGAAUAAGGACCGGCUAAUUCCG
rnacentral:rRNA from 1 species